UGUGAAUACUACAGAGUCGUACACACUUCUUCGUGCAUCACUGUAUAAAUGUAUAUGUAUACAUACACGCAUAUACACGCAUGUACGUAUGUAUAAAUACAGCAUCAACAGUGCUGUCAAUCAGAUUGAAGUCCCAGCGUCUUCACGUGAAGAAGCGAACAGAGAAACAAAGAGAGUGAGAAACUAGCAGACGAUUUGGUUCCAGCGCCAUCAGAAGAAAUCGAAAAAAGCAGAAAAAGAAGAAAAAAAACGUUCCUUAUUCACACUUCUUCAUUUGCAUCUUCUUCUUGUUCUUAUUAACUUUUGGUUUUUCUCUGUAACCAACUCACAAGGAAACAAUGAAGGGCUGUCAAUACGUUGUCAUCAGUUUGCUAUUUGCUGCUUUGGUGUCUUCGGUAUCCUGCCAAUGGUUUUACGACAAUCGACUGAAUUGUUUUGCCCGUUGCGUGACUUGCCUUAUGACCGGGCUUGAUUGUGAACCUCACCAUCCAUUCCCAUCAGGCUAUGAAGAGUGCCAGUUCUACUGCAUAUUAGAACACGAGACCGUUUAUCAAAACUUUCCAGCAAUUCAAAACAGCAUACAUCUUUGCAGGCACAGUCACUUAAGAGACCUCAACGUUCUUAACUCAUGUGUCCGUCAACGAAUUAGAGUUAUGUAUCCAGAAGUCUACAAGAAGUUAACUUGGAUGCCUCAAACCAGAACAGCAUACUGAAAAACUUGCUGAUUUUUCUUCAUUUUAAAUGUAAAAUUGCAUGUAAAAUUGAAAAUAUCAAAUUAAUUUUGAAAUAUAUAUCAAAGCUACUGAACACAAAAAGAUAUUUCCUUUUAACCCUUUUGUUACCAACCCGGCUGAAACCGGCUCUGGCUCUUUAGUACAAAUAUUUUGUUUUCAUAAGUUUUCAAUUAAAAUCUUCCACCAAACCUUAGUCACAAUUUAUGUUCCUAACACUAGCUGAAUGAUAACAAAGUUAUUUUACUAAAUUCUUUGUUAUAUUUAAAGUAAUUGAAAGAAACACAGAGCAUCUCAAAAUAAAUAUGGUAACGAAAGGUUUAACAUGUGUGUCAAAAUAAUUAUGAAAGACAUGUACAGCAAUAAGCAGAAAGGAAAAUAAACAGAUAUGGAUAAACUCA